rnacentral:rRNA from 1 species
CCUACGGGCGGCUGCAGUCGAGAAUCAUUCACAAUGGGGGAAACCCUGAUGGUGCGACGCCGCGUGGGGGAAUGAAGUUCUUCGGAUUGUAAACCCCUGUCAUGUGGGAGCAAAUUAAAAAGAUAGUACCACAAGAGGAAGAGACGGCUAACUCUGUGCCAGCAGCCGCGGUAAUACAGAGGUCUCAAGCGUUGUUCGGAAUCACUGGGCGUAAAGCGUGCGUAGGCUGUUUCGUAAGUCGUGUGUGAAAGGCGCGGGCUCAACCCGCGGACGGCACAUGAUACUGCGAGACUAGAGUAAGGGAGGGGGAACCGGAAUUCUCGGUGUAGCAGUGAAAUGCGUAGAUAUCGAGAGGAACACUCGUGGCGAAGGCGGGUUCCUGGACAUUAACUGACGCUGAGGCACGAAGGCCAGGGGAGCGAAAGGGAUUAGAUACCCGUGUAGUC